GUCUAUGGCCAUAAAACCCUGAUCAAGUCCGAUCCCAUCUGAUCUCGGAAGCUAAGCAGGGUCCGGCCUGGUUAGUACUUAGACGGGAGACCACCUAGGAAGACCUGGUGCUGUAGGUG
rnacentral:rRNA from 1 species